UCCUGCGCGCGCCUCUCGCGAUGUCACGCCACACCGACGUCUGACGUCACAGCGACAGUCUAGAAGCGGAGCGCGGCGUUCCCUGAUUUUUUCAAGUUAAUUAUCGCGCAUUUGAGAGUAAUUGCGAGCGCGAUUGCUGUGCUGAGGUUAUCGUGGGCAAUAGGAUUAUACUGAAAUGUAAAAGAUCUUGGCGACACCGAGGAGUCAGAUGAGCGAGCACGAGAGUCAGUAUUAUUUGUCUCUUUCGGAGUUAAUCCAGGACAGGAAUUUGUAGUAAUUGCGCUUCGACCAUCGUGCUAGGAUCAUUGUGUACACUUGAAGCAUCGUAAAAUUGGAAAAUUGUGUCAGGGUUUGUGGUCACACGGCAACUACAAUGAUGGAUAUGCGGAUGCAGAUGCGGUACCGGAGGAUCCGGUUUGGGCGAAAUGCGGUCGGCUCAAAGUUUCAGAGAAUCGAUGGUGUAAUGCGGAGCGAGAAGCGGAGAACGCGAAGAAGGAUGGAAGCGCGGAAGAGCAGCCAGAAGCUAGGGUGCCCUCUGAAGGGUGCUGCUACCAUGAGAUGAGGGAGGAAAGAGAAGAGAGCAACGAGAGAGCGCGGAGAGUGGGAAAGAGCGUAAAAUGCGCUACCGGGAGGGUCAAAAGCGGAAACAGCGUCAACUUUAAUUCACAUGUCUGCUGCUCGAGGCUCACGUUUUUCAAGAGUUUCGCUCGGAAACCGCGAGUAGACUUCUCUUACUACCGUGACGAAAUCACGGUUUAGCGCGGAGCGAGUAAUAUUAAACAAGAGAGGAACAGACCGGGAUGUGAAUUUCUUCUUUGUGGAUGAAAGAACCCGUUCGUGCCAACUUGUUUGUCAUGUGGAAAUAAUAUGGAAGAGCCCCAUAACAAAUAAAUGCGACCUACUAUCUUUUGUGCCUUGUGCGAUUAAAUGACGGAAAUAUUAUAAUGUUUAAAUUAUCAGAGAGAGAGGAAGAGAAGUAUAUUGAGACUGGUCAUCCAUCAAAAUUUGACCAUCAUAAAUCGCUGUACAAUUUUAUUUCAAUCAUGAUCACUUAACGUCGGUUUUUCUACAUUACGACAGAAUUGUUGCGAUUACCGCUAUUUAUCGACAAUUAAUGAGCGCAUAAGCUAAUUGCAAACGCCAUUACUGUGCAGGCAGGCCGCAGUCAUGAUUGGCGCGGUAUCAGUCAUUGUCUUCUCCCACUCUCAUCUCCCUCCUUUGUGCCCCCUAUUCUCUUCACACGUUUAUAGCUCGACUCAUCGCUAUCUCUACCAAGGGAACUUCCCCAUUGGUCCAUGAUCAUCCCAAUCGUAGCGAUGCUCCCCACGUUCAUCUCAGGCUUCUACUGCGUUCGCGCGAAUCCCCGGUGUCUCUCGACUCCUCGGGAUAGUCGGUGUGCGUGUGUAGAAGUAUCUCGUUGGCGGGGUUGGACCGAAGGGAGCAUCCGUUGUUCCCAAUUGGUCGAGUCGCAGAAGCAUCUCUGCUUAUCUUCGCAGUUGCGCACGCUGACGCAUUCGUUUCCCGUGCAUCUGUUAGCACGUCGGCUAAAAUGGAGACGCUUAUCGUCCCCGAAAACUAAUCGCGAUUUUCGUUAUUUAAAUUAAGAAAUUGUUACUUUAUGUUGCGCAAUAGAGAGUUAAAAGCACCUAGCAAAACAUUUCCCAUUAGAUUGCUAUAAAGUACAUCAAAACCUAUUAAGGAACAACUUUUAAGGAGGCGAUAUUCUAUCGAUCUCGCGGAUUUAAUUUAAUUUUACAAUUUAAUUUUUAUGACAGACCAGCGAGAGCCUCUCACUGCCGUACACACUCGACAUUCUCCUUUAACGUCGUCGGCACGGAGCUCGUCUCCCAGAAUAGCGAGAACUGUUAGUCAUACAUCCUGUCGUACAUCGCGCUAUAACCGGGCGCCGUGACGGUCUAACGCCAUUAUAGCAGACACGUUAGAAGAGAAGCGGGAGGUAGUAGAGACAUCGAGAACAAGAAGGAGAGCAACAUCUCGCGACGAUGGCGAGGGAGGCGUGAGGAGGAAGACGAGUGUGAGAGAAAGAGACAUAGAGAGAGAGAGAGAGAGAGAGAGAGAGAGAGAGAGAGAGGGGGAAUGAGGGAGAGAGAGAGAGAGCAGCGGGAGAAUGCACCGAGAGAGCGGUCGUUGCAGCGGUGCAGUAACACGCUGCUGCAUCUAUUCAUACACACCGCCGGCUUCACCGACGUCAACGGCAUUGGCAGCGCGGCUUGCGCGUAUCCAACGUGAAACACUGACGAGAGAGAAAGAAGAGGAAGAGAGGAGAAGAGGAAGGGAGAGAAAGAGAGAGAAAGAAGGAAGGGGGAGAGAAUCGGAGAUAGAGUGAGAGAGAAUAGGAGACAGGCUUGGCAACAGUGGCCACUUCUCGGUCUUCCUUCUUCUUCCUUCUCAUUCCCUCAUCUGCGUCCCUCUCUCGCUCGAGGUCUUUCUCCACGAAGGAACUCAAACGAGAGUCAGGGCGAUGGAGAAGGAGGAGAGAAUGGAGCCAAAGGAGGAGGAGGUGCAGUGACAUCCACGGAGGGUGCGACCGAGCGAGAUGGUAUGAUAAUUGGAGGAGGAGACGGAGGAGAGAGGAUCGAAGAGAGAAACCGACGCAGGUGGAGGACGGGGAGGCUGAUGGGGAACGGAGGUAGCAGAGAGAGUCCCCUCAGGAGGCAGAGGAGGAACAGGAGGAGCAGGAGGAGCAAGAGGAGGAGGAGGAGGACGUGGAGGCAGAGGGAGGUGGUUACCAUGGCUACCAGAAACCGCAGUCGCCGCCACCGACGAUGCGAGAGGUGUCACUGACUCCUGGCAAAGCUACCGCGCACCAACACGCACCGAGUAUGCGAGCACGUACGCGGACCUACACACACACCCCCUGGCUACGGACAGCCGUUUGAUCUCAGGUUCAGCAUCCAGGCCGAGUCGUUAAGGAUGUUGUGGAGGGACGGGUAACGGAUGGGGUGAGGAACGACGGACUUUAUGCGGAUGUUUUGCGGCACGUCGAAAAGUAGAAAAUGCGGUUGAAGGUAGAAGAAUAUGGAAUGAAAGGGUAUAUUUUUAUCUAUAUUUUUACCAAUAUUAUUGUUUAAUUAACAAGUCCGAAAGCACUGUUUGUUACAUAAAACUGAAAAAUUACAUGCAAGAUUAUUAAUACCACAUCGUAUUUUCGAUGAUUUUGAGAGAGAGAGAGAGAGAUCAAAAUUAAUAUUUUCAAAAUUCGAGAUAUAAUUGAGCUUUAUUGCUUUUUGCUUUAAUUUCGUUUCUUUUGAAAUCUGGAAAAACGUUACGUUUCACGUUACGUUUAAAUUGCGUGGAACACUAUUGUACUUUGAUAAAAAAAAACUCAUUCCCUUUCGUUAAAGAGCACCACGAGUUUCGUCGACGAAAGAAACGAAGCCAUCGGAUGCUGUGACCUGUCGAGAAUACGUACGACUUGCUGUGGGUGGUACUCGAAGUGAUAUUUCUGAGAAUUUAUGAGAGAGACACACGUGAAAGGCGCUCACGAGCGACCACCCACAAUUUUCAAUAGCCGAAACGACACGCGGCGACGACGACGACGACAACGACAACGACGACGACGACGAAGGCGGCGGCGGCGACCAAGCGACGCUGUCGAACCUCGUAAAAGAUGAGAAACGAUCUCAGCGCGGAAUGGCCGACUUGACGAUGUCUCGCACACGAUCGUACUCUGGCACUGAUGGCGAUCGCGUCCGGCAAGGGUAUCUUCUUUUAUGAAAUACUAUUUCGUUUUCAUAAAAGUGUAUCGCACAUGAGAGCUGGUUGCACCGACGACUUGGAUUAAACAGAUCUCAUUCGUGAUGGCACCGAGGAAGGAAUACACUUGACCCGAAAAAUGGCUCCGCAGAAAACGGCGUUGAUGGUAUUCCUGGAAAAGGCAGCGGGAAACGAAAAAGGGGAUGGCGCUUACGCCACUGCGGCGAUGCUCUUUCCACGUCUUCGUCGCUUAUCGCGUGUACAGUCCGAUUCGCCUCGCGGUCUCCAUGGAAACCCGCGGAAAAACCUAUCGAUUCUCUCUUUGGACUCCUCUGAAAGAGAACUCUUUCAAGAAUCCCACGGUCCCUUUCCGCUCCUCUCUUAUCCUCGCCGAAUCUCUCUCGUCUUCGCCGAGGAGAAGCUUUUCCCUCUCCCACCGUCGUGUUUGACUCCCGCGCGUCUUUCGCGAGAGCGGAAGGGAGCGAGAAGAAGCGAAUGGGAAAAGAAAAACAACAAGAGCAGGAAGAAGAAGAAGAAAGAGAAGACCAAGAAGAAGAAGAGGAGGAGUGAGAAGUGGGGCGCGGCAGCGCCGUUAAAAGAGGUGGAGCGAGGAAACCCUCAAGAUGGCGGUCCCUUCCUGGUCACGCCGAGUGGAUAUGCCAGGAAUACGUGCACUGGUUGCAGAGUGUCGGCUGAUCAACUCCCGAUGGAUUUAUCGCUGUGAUAUUGCGGUCCUCCCCGCACCUUUCUUCCCUUCUCUCGAUACUCACGUCGUCGUUUACCACAAUCUGCUUCUACAAUCCCCAAUCGACGUCCUCUCGCUAUGAGAAGACGCUUAAAGGUGGAUGUUCAAAAAUGACGGUGGUAAGAAGUAGGACCGCGAGAGUUCCGAAAUAUGCACGACGAUAUAUUCUAAAUUAUUAGCAAUAUGCAUAUUUUACAUUGCAACCAAAGCUAUACAAAAAUUUCUCUUUUAUCGAAACAAUUGUUCGCGCGAUACAUAUUCAAAACAGUAAAAAUUCCGGCAAAAAUCACGGCGCGGUUCUCUCAUUGCUAAUAUAUAAAUCUGAUUAUCGUUGAUAUAUAUGUAUAUUUUUUUUCAACGAAAAGUCAACUGAUUAAAAAUAACGAAUGGCCGAUUCGUGGAUCCGUAUUAAGUUUGCGGUAUUUGAGUGCCUCAUGUACUAGAGAGAAAUUUAUUGGUUAUCGGUUACUCUCACUUCUCCUUCGCGGCACCACCGGUAGUUUUAUUUUACGUCUACCUUACCCCUUUCAUCACCCUUUCCGUCCCUUCCUGAAUUCGACCGUAGAUUAUUUGAUACGCAGCUUUUUAAUGCCGGAUAUUGCUGUGGAACUUUUUCUACAACGGCUGGGGAUAUCGCGCGAGACACGCUCCGGAGGAUGGUGUGUCUGGUUGAGAAUCGAUAGAGCUCCUACCGAGACUACCCCGCGAGACACGAAUUCCCGGAUUCCAUGUCGCCACCCCUAAAAACCCCAUCUACUGAGCGCACCCCCUCCCCCCGCCUCUACCCCUCGAUCCACCCCUUCGGUGCUCCUCGAGGCACCGUAUUACCUCUGGACGAGAGGACUCCGAGCAUGGAAAGAGAGGACGACCGAGGAGACGACGGAGCAGCGGCAUAAAGACUCGGGGCGAGUUAAAGCGAGACAGCAGAAGAGGCGAGGGACGAAUGGGGGGGGGGAGUGAGAAGGGGAAAGGGGCAAGGGAAUAGAGGGCAGCGCAAGAGGGGACGAGAGGAGAGGAAAAGGGCUGGAGAGAGCAACGCGCGCGAGGGCCGAGCACAAUGGACCGCCUCGGAGAUUCGGAAAUGUCGAGACCCACGACCCUGAAUGGGAGACGGAUGAGGACCUUGCCCCAGCUGGAUCGCAGGACAAUGCAUCCUGGAAGACGAAUGUUAACGCCGGCGAUAACGCGGUUUAAUGCAGAAAUGGAUGGUUUCUCGGACUCUCCUGUCAGUAUCUCGAGCGUCCUAUCGUUACGACUGUCGAGUCGAACUGUGGAUUCGUUAUUUAAGGGCUUCGUUAAGGAUUAUUUCGCCGAAAAAUUUGCUCGAUGACGCUGCACGCACACAGUCCAACAAUAAUACAUCGGAUACAACAAAAAGCAUCGCGAGCACGAUUAUUACGGGACGCUCUUCUCGCGACAUACGCUUUAAUCCGAACGACAGGAGAUUGUACGGCGUUCCAAACACGUUCGAUAAUUCUUGUGCCGAAGGCUGAACAUUUGCUCGACGGAAAGACACGUAAUAGCGCAGUUCCUCGUAACAAGGAUAUCACCCUUAUUUGGCUUCUUAUUUUAUCGUCACGGUCGUGCGUAGCGCGCAAGGUCGUCGCUUGGUAAUGUGUUUGAAUAAGUGUCAUCGUUUCGAAUGAGCACGGAUGACCCCCUUUACGUGUAAGCCUCCUCUACGGCACGUGUGACAACGCCCUGAUAAACUUACCGAACUCGUAAUUGAUGUCGGAGAUAAUUGUACGUAAUAACAGUAUGUCAUCGACUGGUAUCGUCCUCAACUCGUAAUUUUAUUUGUCGUACGGUAAACACAGAAAACGACACAAAAAAGAAAGACGCAAUCCCGAAUCGUUAAAUUACUAUCAGGUCUAGAGCCGAUCGAUACUUAAAUUUCAAUGCUCUCAUUACAGAAUCAUGAGAGAUUAUAAAGUUUGAGAAAUUAUAAAAAAUAAAAAAUACAAUAAAAAAAAUCCAAAAGGAAAGAAAUUCAUCAAAUUUUACUUUUCCAAUGAUGAGUUAAGUAAAGACAUUUUUUUUUUUUUCCUUUUCAAGAUGUUUGUCAUACUUCCCAUCAUCAGAAAAGUUGGAUUUGAGAGAAUCCACGCAUUUCAUUUCGUUCUCUUUAAAUCUGUGUAAUAUGAGAGAUAUAUUAUAAAGUUUAUUAUAAGUUUUAGUGUAAUUCUUUGUGUGAUAUUCAACGAUUAUUCUUUACAGUAUUUUUAAAAACAUGAAACAUCGCACGGAGAAAAAUAAUUUUGUUCUUUUAGCAAAAUCGUCGUUGCUACUGUAUAUUUGUAGUGACAUCAAAAAAAUU